ACCUAGUUAGCUUGAAGGGUAGGGCUUCUGCCUUGUAAGCGCUAAGUUGUGGCUUCAAUUCCCACACGGGGUG
rnacentral:tRNA from 1 species